CCGGUUAUGCACGGGUUGUUUCCGAGCAUCUCCCCUAUGCGUGACAUUUGCCAGCUGAAGAGGGAGACCGAAAGACCUAGAAGACAUCGGAUCUGCCUUCAGGAGCUUCCUGCCUGCAACCCAGGAAGAGGAGAGGAGAAAGCUGAGGUCCAGCAAGGGGCAGCACCUCUGACCAUGGCUACUUGGCCUCAAGGCCUUGUGGACCCCUGAGAAUCACCCCUCAAGGUGUACACAGUGCCCUCCUGCUGCCUCCAUGCCCCCGCUCCAGCAUAGGCCUUCCUGUCCUGCUCAGGGACAGGUCUCCACGGAGCUCAACAUGAGACCCACUCUGCUGAAGGUGGCUUCCAGGGUUCCUGAGGGUUGAACGUAUUCCUUGAGCGCUAUAACAGCAUUGAAACCCAGAGAUGUGAAGUCAUUUGUCCAAGGCCACAAAGCAUAGUUAAUACAAAGAAAUAAGCUGAAAUUGGCAGUUUUUUUAAAAGUCAAACAUACAUCCGAUGUGCAACCCAGCAAUUCCAUUCCUAUGCGUUGACCCAAGAAAAAAUGAACACAUACACCCAGUAAAGUCUUG